GCAGAUGUAAUAUAACGGUAGUACACGACCUUCCCAAGGUUGGCGCGCGGGUUCGACUCCCGUCAUCUGCU
rnacentral:tRNA from 2 species